GUGCAAUAUCAGUGUACCACUUUUUAACCCAGUUAUAUUUCUAGAUCUGCAUUACUGCUCGACUAUAAUCAAGAAAACCUUUACUUUGGUGUGUUGUCCUUACAGGUGUAAAAUACUACAUUAUAAAACAGUUCACAAUCAGGCUAACAAGUAGUUAGUUCUCCAUAAUUUGA